rnacentral:rRNA from 1 species
AUUGAACGCUGGCGGCAGGCCUAACACAUGCAAGUCGAGCGAGCGGCGGACGGGUGAGUAAUGUAUGGGGAUCUGCCUGAUGGCGGGGGAUAACUACUGGAAACGGUAGCUAAUACCGUAUACCAUCAGAUGAACCCAUAUGGGAUUAGCUUGUAGGUGAGGUAACGGCUCACCUAGGCGACGAUCCCUAGCCGGUCUGAGAGGAUGAUCAGCCACACUGGGACUGAGACACGGCCCAGACUCCUACGGGAGGCAGCAGUAGGGAAUCUUGCGCAAUGGGCGCAAGCCUGAUGCAGCCAUGCCGCGUGUGUGAAGAAGGCCUUCGGGUUGUAAAGUACUUUCAGUCGAGAAGCGUUACCGAAAGAGAAAGCACCGGCUAACUCCGUGCCAGCAGCCGCGGUAAUAC